AUGGCUGGGGUGGUCGGCGUCUGGUUCGCCAAGUUCGGCCGGGAGGCGGCGCCGGCGGUAGAGGCAGAGGCCGAGGUCGUCGGACGGCGACACCAGGGCGACGGCCUGCUCGAGGUGGAGGCCGUGAAGACGGUGCAGAUCCAGGAGAGGAGGAGGAGGAACAGCGCCGUCCUCGCCAACUCCGAGGACACGGUGUGCAUGCUCAUGGACCGCUUCGCCCCGGCCUGA
rnacentral:rRNA from 1 species